UGAAUAGUUUAGCUUUUAAGGACUGUCAAGUUCCCAUUUAUAUGACAGCAGAUAAUGAGGGGGUUGUUAAUCAUCUGUGCUCCUCUGGUGACUGAGGUGGAAGGAGUUAGUAAAGAUUUUGUAAUCUUGUGAUCAAUGCUCAGCUUCAGCCUGUCAGACUCAAUACACGUACCACAGACGGGAGCCUGAAGCAGCUUUAAUGAGGUUUUCAACAUAAAUGCAGUUUAGUGCUGAUAUGGCAAGUUUUUCUUUUUAGUUUAAUGCCAGUUUUUACUUCACAGCUUAAAGUUUUGUCACAUGCAUAUGAAAUGUUCUGAAUCUUUCAUUUCAGUUGCAGCUGAGGGAAAGUAUUCAAUUCAAUUCAAGUUUUAUUCAAUCACAUAAUAAACAACAAAUGUGUUUGAUAGAAACUUGAAAAGGCACAGGCUGAAGCAUAGUGCUUAUAUUUAAGCCACGCGUCAACAUGUAUAUAUCUUUUAGGUCUUAAAUUUAUUCAUAUUAGUUCUUCAUUAUUAUUCAUAUUAAUAAACCCCAACAACAGAUUUGAAUCUCGUUUUAAUUUUGUUUGGUACAGUAAAUUUGCAGACGUCUCUGAAAUCAUACUUUGUGUCCUGAGAUAAAAACACAACAACUUUGUAUAAUGUCUGGAAGCAACUUUAAUUUAGCUCUAUACAUUAUUUGCAUUAUUUUGAAGUGUGAGUGCACAGUAAAUGAUGUGUAAGGCCUUUUGUUUCAGAAAUCUUUCCUUUGAUAUAAUAAACAUGUGGUUUCCAUGUUAAUUUAUGGUCAAUAAUCACCCCCCCAAAACAAACAAACAAAAAAAAAAACAAUAAAAUAAAUAAAAUUAAAUAUUAAACAAC